UACGUAGGGUGCAGGCGUUAAUCGGAAUUACUGGGCGUAAAGCGUGCGCAGGCGGUUUUGUAAGUCUGUCGUGAAAGCCCCCGGCUCAACUGGGGAGGGUCAUUCGAUACUGAUCGACUCGAAGGCAGGAGAGGGAAGUGGAAUUCCCGGUGUAGUGGUGAAAUGCGUAGAUAUCAGGAGGAACACCGAUGGCGAAGGCAGGUCUCUGGGCUGACACUGACGCUCAUGCACGAAAGCGUGGGGAGCAAACAGG
rnacentral:rRNA from 1 species